UUUAAAAUUCAAAACUCAACGGAACGCCAAACGGCUCUUCGUGUGCAUUCUUUUGGUGACGUGCGCUCGUUCGUUAGCUCGUGUCAAUUUUGAUACAGUUCUCCGCUUUCGCGACGAGAGGGAACGAGAGAGAGGAAGAGAGACGUGCCCCCGACCGAGCGAGUUUCCGUAAACGUUGGGCAACGGUUCCGGAAUAAAAGACGGGACGCUGAAAAGCUUCAGGAGGCAAUCAAUGGCGAUGCUACGAUGUGAGAACGACGUAAGCGGCGUCUGCUCUCUCGCUCUCUGAAGUGCUAAAGUUAUGGUACUGUGAGAAUCGCGAAUCAGUCGAAACUCGUAGCUAACGAUGGUUUUCACCAAGAGGGAUUUGGGCAAGGCGUUCUCGCCGAGCAAGGGUAGGAAACCGGCGAUGAAGAAGCGGCCGUCGACCGGCGGAUCGACCAAGCCGGGCACGAGCGGCACCCCGAUGAUAAAAAAAUCCGAGGAUACCUCCGAGAUAUCGAUCAAGGUGAUCGUGAGGAUUCGUCCGCCAAACGAACGUGAGUUACAGGACAACAGCAAAACGGUCAUCGAGGUCGUGGACGACAAGAUGCUGAUCUUCGACCCGAAGGAACAGGCGACGCCGUUCUUCUUCCACAACGUGGCGCAGAAGGGUAGGGACAUGCUGAAGAAACAGAACAAGCAGCUGCAGUUUAUUUUUGACAGGGUCUUCGACUCGACAUCCACCAACACUGAUGUGUUCGAGGGCAGCACCAAGAGCUUGAUCAAUAGCCUCUUGGACGGCUACAAUUGCUCCGUGUUCGCUUAUGGUGCCACCGGCGCUGGUAAAACUCACACCAUGCUGGGCAACAAAGAAGACCUCGGUAUCACUUACCGUACUGUGGCGGAGCUCUUCUCCGAGAUUGAGAAUCAGAGCAAGCAUCGCGAGUUUAAUUUGGGCGUGUCUUAUCUCGAAAUAUAUAACGAGAAUGUGCAGGACCUGCUGCAUAAGUCCGGCCAGUUGCAUCUGAGGGAGGACGGUAGGUGCGGCGUCGUGGUCGCCGGAUUGGAACCGAUCGCUAUUCAAAACGCCGAGGAAUUGCUGUCGCUGUUGGCAGAGGGCAACAAGAACCGUACGCAGCAUCCGACGGACGCGAACAAGGAGAGCAGUAGAAGCCACGCGGUAUUCCAAGUGUACAUCAAGAUAAUCAACAAGCUGGACAGUCAGGUGCAGCGAGUCAAGCUGUCCAUGAUUGAUUUGGCAGGAUCCGAAAGAGCUUCGGCUACCGGUUGCAAAGGCGUGAGGUUUAAGGAAGGCGCCAACAUCAAUAAAUCCCUGUUGGCCCUUGGAAAUUGCAUAAAUAAUUUAGCAGAUGGUAUAAAGCAUAUUCCAUAUAGAGACUCCAAACUUACGAGGCUAUUAAAAGAUUCGCUCGGUGGCAAUUGCCACACAGUUAUGAUAGCUAAUAUCGCUCCUUGUAGUAUUACUUAUGAAGAUACGUAUAAUACUUUAAGAUACGCGAAUCGAGCGAAGAAGAUAAAAUCAUACGCCAAGAAGAAUGUGUCUUGCGAGAUGCACGUCGCGGGCUAUAUCAAGAUAGUGGAGGAGCAGAAGAAGGAAAUAGAUAUCUUGAAAUCGAAAUUGGCAGUUUUCGAAAACGGCACGCUGCAACCGAUCGAGAACAAGCCAAGUGUCGGAAUGUUGGAGAUGUACAACAAACUGAUAAAAUUACAUGAAAAGAAGAAGGAUCUGAUAGAGAGAAUGCUGGCUCUGGAGAGCUCUGAUAAGAUAUUGGCAUAUAGGAUACUCUUCAAGAAGGACGCGGAUGAUAGGCUGCACAAUUUAACGGCAGCCAGCGACGCCUUGUCGCAGGAAGAACAAAACGCCAGCGGUAAAUCGCGUAUUAAUAAAUCUGUACAUUAUUUCCAGCGGCAGAGAGAGUCCCUUAAGGCGCAUAUGCAAGAGACGUGGGAGGAACUGUGCUCGGUCGAGAUGGAGAUACAGGAGGCGAAGACUAAACCCAUGGACGAGAAUCUACAGAAUCAACUAUCUUUGGAAAUUUCCAAGCUUGAGAAAUGCUGGAUUUCCGUUAUGCAACAGCAUGUGAAGAAAGUCAGUAGUCUACUGCAGUGCGAGAGACAGUCGGUCAACACUAUAAUGAAAAAUAUGAGCAAUGUAUUGCAGAAUUACUAUAAUAUGUUAAAAGGCUACGGUACAAUGACCGAAAAGAUGCAAUCGGAGUUUAAGGAGUUGAUAAAGUUGCUCGAAGGUUUUCGAAACAUCAAAUGGUCCGAUUCGGACGAGAUGAGUAAAGAAUACGAUUUCAACAUGUUUACAUGUUUGAGUACAGUCGGAAUAGAUCCAUUAAAUAAUCCAAUGCCAGCAAUCGGCGCAACGAUACUAGAGACGGAAAACAAUGAGGAACAGGACAACUGCAACAUGAAUAUUUUGAAUUCCACCUUCAAUGCGAGUGAAAGCAAUUGUAUCGACGGCAAUAUCUUGAACGACGAAAGUAAUAAUCACGAAAGUAAUAAUCACGAAAGUAAUAAUCACGAAAGUAAAUCCAUGCUGAAAGACGAAUCUGUGCAAGAAAUUCCAAUGGAAAAAUCUGCGAAGAAUUUAUUCAGGAAACGUGUAUUGUCUGACAAAAACAGUGAAACCAGCAGUACACCCUCCAAGCAGACGAAGAAGCCAAUAAUGAAUAACAAAACUACUGUACAGAAUAAUACUAGUCGAUUGGACAAGGAGAACAAACAUAGGCCUAUACAAAUGAGUGCAAAGAGUGUCGCCAUUUUAAAUAAAUUAAAGAGCGAAGCAACUAAUUUUUCAUCUCUUUCUCGGCACAAUAAUAGCGAUGAAAAAACGGACAUGGCGCUCAAGGCGAUACGUAAUAAAGAGAGGCGCGGCCUUAUGACAACUCAUCCGUAUCAAAAGUCGACCAUUACAAAAAAACCUGCUCCAGCUCCACCAUCUACGAGAGUUCCAUGGUAAAAUUAGACAAAAAUUUGGCACUUGGAUGCAAGAUUGAAGAGAUGGCGAUCGUACAAACAUGGCGUUAACUAUCGUGUGCAACUUUGGAAUACUCACAUAUUUCCGCAAGGCAUGCGACACGUGUUUCGAAAUUUCUGGAAUUCUCAAGUCCGCGGCAGAUUGUCGACCGCUAACUAUCGUCGGCAGGAUCGAUCGCGAACGCUCAAAAAGCGUGGCGAACGAUUGCAAUAGAAAUGCCAGAAACGCCAGUGACGCUAACACGCUGAUGGGAUCAAAGGCACUAAAAUACCCAUCAUUUAUCACCGUUGACGAAUAUCGCAACGAGGGAAGAGGAUUCGAGAUACGAUUAUUAUUUCAAGGAAAUACACUUACUGGUAAUAAGCCGGCCAUGCGGAAUGCGAGCCGAGUCCACCGCCGUAGUAACUGCGUUGAAUCGAUUGUUGUUUGCGUAUAUUCGGAAAAUUCGAAUAAGGUAGAAACGAUACGCUCUUCGAACCCGUCUUGUACGUAUCCGAUAAGUAACACAGGGGCGGAUUACUGCAAGACGGCGCUUCGCUUAUAGUCCUUUCCAAUCUUGUUGUUUGCAUCUCGCAUCGAAUAAUGUCGAACGCACCAAGGAGUAAAAACGCAAUCUUCAACAUUUUACCUUUUUAAAUGACUGUUUAAACUUUCGAUUUUUUUUUAUUUUUUAUAUUCUGCGCGUGGCGAUACACAGAAUAAGAUUCUCAGCGCAUUUUAAGAGCGAGACUAUUAUUACAAUGCACAAAAAAUUCCAAUCGUAAUAUUUUUACGCGAUGUCGAAGUUUCCAGCUCACAUCUCGAAGAUAUGGGUGACUCGACAUGCUCGGCAAAUAUAUAGAUACCGAGAAAGAAAUGAUAACGAGCCGUUUUCAGUUGAUUCUUUGUACGCUCCAAUUGUGAGUUUUAUUCAAAUUGUAGUAAAUUCAAAUACUGUUACAAAUAAAGUAAUUCGAUCUCGCGA